UACGAAGGGUGCAAGCGUUGUCCGGAAUUAUUGGGCGUAAAGAGCUCGUAGGCGGUGUGUCGCGUCGGCCGUGAAAACCUGGGGCUCAACUCUGGGCGUGCGGUCGAUACGGGCAUCACUUGAGUUCGGCAGGGGAGACUGGAAUUCCUGGUGUAGCGGUGAAAUGCGCAGAUAUCAGGAGGAACACCGGUGGCGAAGGCGGGUCUCUGGGCCGAUACUGACGUGAGGAGCGAAAGCAUGGGUAGCGAACAGG
rnacentral:rRNA from 1 species